rnacentral:rRNA from 1 species
CGCGGCCUAUCAGCUUGUUGGAGAGGUAACGGCUCACCAAGGCAUCGACGGGUAGCUGGUCUGAGAGGAUGAUCAGCCACACUGGGACUGAGACACGGCCCAGACUCCUACGGGAGGCAGCAGUGGGGAAUCUUGCACAAUGGGCGAAAGCCUGAUGCAGCAACGCCGCGUGCGGGAGGAAGGCCCUAGGGUUGUAAACCGCUUUCAGUAGGGAAGAAAAUGACGGUACCUACAGAAGAAGGUGCGGCCAACUACGUGCCAGCAGCCGCGGUAAUACGUAGGGGGCGAGCGUUGUCCGGAUUCAUUGGGCGUAAAGAGCUCGUAGGCGGCUCAGUAAGUCGGCCGUGAAAGCCCGGGGCUCAACUCCGGGAUGCCGGUCGAUACUGCUGUGGCUAGGGUCCGGUAGAGGAGAGUGGAAUUCCCGGUGUAGCGGUGAAAUGCGCAGAUAUCGGGAGGAACACCAGUAGCGAAGGCGGCUCUCUGGGCCGGUACCGACGCUGAGGAGCGAAAGCUAGGGGAGCAAACAGGAUUAGAUACCCUGGUAGUCCUAGCCGUAAACGUUGGGCACUAGGUGUGGCGGAUUGAUUGACAUCUGCCGUGCCGUAGCUAACGCAUUAAGUACCCCGCCUGGGGAGUACGG